rnacentral:lncRNA from 1 species
GUGAGACUGGUAGGCUGAUGGCCCUGUUAUAUAGUGCAAAUCCCAAGGCCAACUGCUGUGGCUUUGCUGAUGAUGUAUUCUUCAUUUGAGAAAAUUGGGCUGGGCCUCACUGGGUACUCUAACCCUCUAUUUUCUCAUCUAUAAAAUGGACCUGAGCUAAGAAAAAAAAAUGGUGACAUACGUUGCUUAUAACCCAAGAACUUUGGAGGUUGCAUGUAGGAGGACCACCCUGAUAGCUCAGCUAGUAAAAUGCUUGCCCUGCAGGUAUGAAGACUUGAGUUUGAAUCCUUAGACAUCAGUAUUG